rnacentral:rRNA from 1 species
AGAGUUUGAUCCUGGCUCAGGACGAACGCUGGCGGCGUGCCUAACACAUGCAAGUCGAGCGGAGCUAAUAGUAAUAUUAGUUUAGCGGCGGACGGGUGAGUAACGCGUGGGCAACCUGCCUCACACUGGGGGAUAACACAGGGAAACUUGUGCUAAUACCGCAUAACAUCAUUGAAGGACAUCCUUUAAUGAUCAAAGGAGCAAUCCGGUGAGAGAUGGGCCCGCGUCCAAUUAGCUAGUUGGUGAUGUAACGGACCACCAAGGCGACGAUUGGUAGCCGAACUGAGAGGUUGAUCGGCCACAUUGGGACUGAGAUACGGCCCAGACUCCUACGGGAGGCAGCAGUGGGGAAUAUUGCGCAAUGGGGGAAACCCUGACGCAGCAACGCCGCGUGAAGGAUGAAGGUUUUCGGAUCGUAAACUUCUUUGAUGGGGGACGAAAUAAAUGACGGUACCCCAAAAACAAGCCACGGCUAACUACGUGCCAGCAGCCGCGGUAAUACGUAGGUGGCGAGCGUUGUCCGGAAUUACUGGGUGUAAAGGGCGUGUAGGCGGGAAUGUAAGUCAGAUGUGAAAUACCGAGGCUUAACCUCGGGGCUGCAUCUGAAACUAUGUUUCUUGAGUGUCGGAGAGGAAAGUGGAAUUCCCAGUGUAGCGGUGAAAUGCGUAGAUAUUGGGAGGAACACCAGUGGCGAAGGCGACUUUCUGGACGAUAACUGACGCUGAGGCGCGAAAGCGUGGGGGAGCAAACAGGAUUAGAUACCCUGGUAGU